rnacentral:rRNA from 1 species
UACGGGGGGGGUAAGCGUUGUUCGGAAUUACUGGGCGUAAAGGGCUCGUAGGCGGCCAACUAAGUCAGACGUGAAAUCCCUCAGCUUAACUGGGGAACUGCGUCUGAUACUGGAUGGCUUGGAUUCGGGAGAGGAAUGCGGAAUUCCAGGUGUAGCGGUGAAAUGCGCAGAUAUCGGGAGGAACACCAGUAGCGAAGGCGGCUCGCUGGGCCAUUCCUGACGCUGAGACGCGAAAGCUAGGGGAGCGAACAGG